rnacentral:rRNA from 1 species
GACGAACGCUGGCGGCGUGCUUAACACAUGCAAGUCGAACGGAAAGGCCCUGCUUUUGUGGGGUGCUCGAGUGGCGAACGGGUGAGUAACACGUGAGUAACCUGCCCUUGACUUUGGGAUAACUUCAGGAAACUGGGGCUAAUACCGGAUAGGAGCUCCUGCUGCAUGGUGGGGGUUGGAAAGUUUCGGCGGUUGGGGAUGGACUCGCGGCUUAUCAGCUUGUUGGUGGGGUAGUGGCUUUCAAGGCUUUGACGGGUAGCCGGCCUGAGAGGGUGACCGGCCACAUUGGGACUGAGAUACGGCCCAGACUCCUACGGGAGGCAGCAGUGGGGAAUAUUGCACAAUGGGCGGAAGCCUGAUGCAGCAACGCCGCGUGCGGGAUGACGGCCUUCGGGUUGUAAACCGCUUUCGCCUGUGACGAAGCGUGAGUGACGGUAAUGGGUAAAGAAGCACCGGCUAACUACGUG